rnacentral:rRNA from 1 species
CCUACGGGGGGCUGCAGUGGGGGAUAUUGCACAAUGGGCGCAAGCCUGAUGCAGCCAUGCCGCGUGUGUGAAGAAGGCCUUCGGGUUGUAAAGCACUUUCAGCGGGGAGGAAGGCGGUGAGGUUAAUAACCUCAUCGAUUGACGUUACCCGCAGAAGAAGCACCGGCUAACUCCGUGCCAGCAGCCGCGGUAAUACGGAGGGUGCAAGCGUUAAUCGGAAUUACUGGGCGUAAAGCGCACGCAGGCGGUCUGUCAAGUCGGAUGUGAAAUCCCCGGGCUCAACCUGGGAACUGCAUUCGAAACUGGCAGGCUAGAGUCUUGUAGAGGGGGGUAGAAUUCCAGGUGUAGCGGUGAAAUGCGUAGAGAUCUGGAGGAAUACCGGUGGCGAAGGCGGCCCCCUGGACAAAGACUGACGCUCAGGUGCGAAAGCGUGGGGAGCAAACAGGAUUAGAUACCCCAGUAGUC